rnacentral:rRNA from 1 species
AUACGGAGGGCGCAAGCGUUGUUCGGAAUCAUUGGGCGUAAAGCGCGUGUAGGCGGCUUGGUAAGUCGGGUGUGAAAGCCCGGGGCUCAACCCCGGAAAUGCAUUCGAAACUGCCUGGCUAGAGUUCCGGAGAGGAAGGCAGAAUUCCCGGUGUAGAGGUGAAAUUCGUAGAUAUCGGGAGGAAUACCAGUGGCGAAGGCGGCCUUCUGGACGGCAACUGACGCUGAGACGCGAAAGCGUGGGGAGCAAACAGGAUUAGAAACCCCGGUAGUCC